rnacentral:rRNA from 1 species
GAAUUCGCCCUUAGAGUUUGACCCUGGCUCAGGACGAACGCUGGCGGCGCGCCUAACACAUGCAAGUCGAACGAGCGAGAGAGAGCUUGCUUUCUCGAGCGAGUGGCGAACGGGUGAGUAACGCGUGAGGAACCUGCCUCAAAGAGGGGGACAACAGUUGGAAACGACUGCUAAUACCGCAUAAGCCCACGGGUCGGCAUCGACCAGAGGGAAAAGGAGCAAUCCGCUUUGAGAUGGCCUCGCGUCCGAUUAGCUGGUUGGUGAGGUAAUGGCCCACCAAGGCGACGAUCGGUAGCCGGACUGAGAGGUUGAACGGCCACAUUGGGACUGAGACACGGCCCAGACUCCUACGGGAGGCAGCAGUGGGGAAUAUUGCACAAUGGGGGAAACCCUGAUGCAGCGACGCCGCGUGGAGGAAGAAGGUCUUCGGAUUGUAAACUCCUGUUGUUGAGGAAGAUAAUGACGGUACUCAACAAGGAAGUGACGGCUAACUACGUGCCAGCAGCCGCGGUAAAACGUAGGUCACAAGCGUUGUCCGGAAUUACUGGGUGUAAAGGGAGCGCAGGCGGGAAGACAAGUUGGAAGUGAAAUCCAUGGGCUCAACCCAUGAACUGCUUUCAAAACUGUUUUUCUUGAGUAGUGCAGAGGUAGGCGGAAUUCCCGGUGUAGCGGUGGAAUGCGUAGAUAUCGGGAGGAACACCAGUGGCGAAGGCGGCCUACUGGGCACCAACUGACGCUGAGGCUCGAAAGUGUGGGUAGCAAACAGGAUUAGAUACCCUGGUAGUCCACACCGUAAACGAUGAUUACUAGGUGUUGGAGGAUUGACCCCUUCAGUGCCGCAGUUAACACAAUAAGUAAUCCACCUGGGGAGUACGACCGCAAGGUUGAAACUCAAAGGAAUUGACGGGGGCCCGCACAAGCAGUGGAGUAUGAGGUUUAAUUCGACGCAACGCGAAGAACCUUACCAAGUCUUGACAUCCCUUGACGAUGCUGGAAACAGUAUUUCUCUUCGGAGCAAGGAGACAGGUGGUGCAUGGUUGUCGUCAGCUCGUGUCGUGAGAUGUUGGGUUAAGUCCCGCAACGAGCGCAACCCUUAUGGUCAGUUACUACGCAAGAGGACUCUGGCCAGACUGCCGUUGACAAAACGGAGGAAGGUGGGGAUGACGUCAAAUCAUCAUGCCCUUUAUGACUUGGGCUACACACGUACUACAAUGGCGUUAAACAAAGAGAAGCAAGACCGCGAGGUGGAGCAAAACUCAGAAACAACGUCCCAGUUCGGACUGCAGGCUGCAACUCGCCUGCACGAAGUCGGAAUUGCUAGUAAUCGUGGAUCAGCAUGCCACGGUGAAUACGUUCCCGGGCCUUGCACUCACCGCCCGUCA